rnacentral:rRNA from 1 species
GGAAUCAAGCUGUUAAGGGCAUAGAGUGAAUGCCUUGGUGCCAACAGGCGAUGAAGGACGUGAU